CUGAGAUAUAUGCAGCCCCAGGUACUUAGGGUGCCUCCUUCUAAUUCAUCUUCACCAUUGUGGUUGUCAAUAUGGCAUGCAGAAUUAUCCCUCUUUCCAGCUUCUGGAGUCUACCUGGAUUCCUGGGCUCAUGGCCCCUUCCUCCAUCUUCAAACCAGCAAUGAUGGAGCUGAGCCUGACACUCUAACCGGUUCUCUGGGUGUACUGCAAAGGUCUAAUAAAAGGCACCUUUGCCCGGUUGCUUCAAUUCUAGGAAGCUGUUCAAUGUUUGACUAUAUUUCUCCAUACUCAUUUGAAAACAGUUCAUCAGAUUGGAACGACCUGGAGCAGCCAGCAGAGUGACAAAUGAGGAAGAGGACAGAAUCUAGCUGAAGAAGCUCUGGAAGAUACCAUUUGAAGUCUUGAGUGCUUGAACUCACAAAGAAAGCACAUGAGUACACACUAGCACUUGAGCUCUUCAUUUUAAACAGAAUAAAGAAUGUACUGCUAUUAUUGUCAUUUUACAGAUAGGGAAAUUCAGACUCACCAGGGCUACUCAGAUACAAAGAAAAUGAGCCAGAAUUUCAAGCAAGCCUGAGCUUAGAAUCUACACUAUUUUUUUUUUUUUUUUUGAGACAUGGUCUUACUUUGUCACCCAGGCUGGAGUUCAGUGGUAUUAGGUUGGCACAAAAGUAAUUGUGGUCUCUGCCACUUAAAACUAGAGCCCGAAACUGCAAUUACUUUUGCACCAACCUAAUGCACUUACCAGAGCUCACUUACGCCUUGACCUCCUGGGCUCAAGUGAUUCUCCCACCUCAGCCUCCCAAGUGGCUGGGAAUGUGGGCAUGCACCACCCUGCCCGGCUAGCUUUUCUUUCUUUUUUUUUUGUGGAGACAGGAUUUUGCCAUGUUGUCCCGGCUGGUCUUUAACUCCUGAGCUCAAACUAUCCUUCUGCCCUGGCCUCCCAAAGUUCUGGGAUUACAGGCAUGAGCCACUGUGCCCGGCCCAGAACCUAUGCUCCUAACUGCCACACCAAUUGACCUCUAUUCAGCCAUUUUUAUUUCUAUAGCACUUGGUAUAAUUUCACUUUGCACACAGUAUCUAUAGAUAAUCAUUCCAGGGCAUGUAAUCGUCAUAAGAUUAUUUAUGUUAUUGCAUGUGUAUUACUGCAUGUAAUCUUCAUGUGUUAUUGCCUCUAACAAGUUAUGUAUUUCCAUGUAGUCUUCAUAACUGUGUAUAGAAGACCAUUUUAGAGAUGGAAAACUGAGACUCAGAAGUGGUAAUUGUCCUACUGGUCAGAGAUUUAGCCAGGGUUUGGAUUGUGGAAUGCAGAGGACCACUUACUUUUCACUAGACCAUAAAUGCUCCUCACCACUGAGGCAUGUCAAAUGCCAGAUAUCUCCAGGAACCUUAGGCUACGUCUCCAUUGUUUUUGCUUUUUCCCCCCUUAGACACAGCUUGGCAAAGAACAAAUGAUCCCAAACACCAAACAGCACACUUGGAAACAUUUAACCCGCAUACUUUCAGACUUUCUGGCAUGGACCAACCUCUUGUCUUACCUUUGUUCCUGGCCAGAAAGAAAUGGCAUGAAAAGAUGGACAGUUUUUAUAACCUCUUUGAGCUCUAAACCAUGUUUCCUGUGCACUUAGGAGAUCUUAAUAGAAACCAAGUACUUCUUUUAGGCAUCUAUACUCUUAAUGCCGUAAGUCAAGUCAAGUACCCAGGUGGUUAAGAUAACUGUACCAACAGAAACAUUUUUAAAAAAUAUCCUAACACAACAUGAAGUGACCAUCGCGAAUUCAAAGAAGCAGGC
rnacentral:lncRNA from 1 species